AGCGAACGCUGGCGGCAGGCUUAACACAUGCAAGUCGAGCGGACCUUUCGGGGUCAGCGGCGGACGGGUGAGUAACGCGUGGGAACGUGCCUUCCGGUUCGGAAUAACCCUGGGAAACUAGGGCUAAUACCGGAUACGCCCUUAUGGGGAAAGGUUUACUGCCGGAAGAUCGGCCCGCGUCUGAUUAGCUAGUUGGUGGGGUAACGGCCUACCAAGGCGACGAUCAGUAGCUGGUCUGAGAGGAUGAUCAGCCACACUGGGACUGAGACACGGCCCAGACUCCUACGGGAAGGAGCAGUGGGGAAUAUUGGACAAUGGGCGCAAGCCUGAUCCAGCCAUGCCGCGUGAGUGAUGAAGGCCUUAGGGUUGUAAAGCUCUUUUAUCCGGGACGAUAAUGACGGUACCGGAGGAAUAAGCCCCGGCUAACUUCGUG
rnacentral:rRNA from 1 species